ACGAACUCUGGCGGCGUGCUUCACACAUGCAAGUCGCACGGAAAGGCCCUGCUUUUGUGGGGUGCUCGAGUGGCGAACGGGUGAGUAACACGUGAGUAACCUGCCCUUGACUUUGGGAUAACUUCAGGAAACUGGGGCUAAUACCGGAUAGGAGCUCCUGCUGCAUGGUGGGGGUUGGAAAGUUUCGGCGGUUGGGGAUGGACUCGCGGCUUAUCAGCUUGUUGGUGGGGUAGUGGCUUACCAAGGCUUUGACGGGUAGCCGGCCUGAGAGGGUGACCGGCCACAUUGGGACUGAGAUACGGCCCAGACUCCUACGGGAGGCAGCAGUGGGGAAUAUUGCACAAUGGGCGGAAGCCUGAUGCAGCAACGCCGCGUGCGGGAUGACGGCCUUCGGGUUGUAAACCGCUUUCGCCUGUGACGAAGCGUGAGUGACGGUAAUGGGUAAAGAAGCACCGGCUAACUACGUG
rnacentral:rRNA from 1 species